rnacentral:rRNA from 1 species
CCUACGGGAGGCAGCAGUGGGGAAUAUUGGGCAAUGGAGGCAACUCUGACCCAGCAACGCCGCGUGAAGGAAGAAGGCCUUAGGGUUGUAAACUUAUGUUGUAAAGGAAGAAAAGAAUGACGGUACUUUACAAGAAAGCCCCGGCUAACUAUGUGCCAGCAGCCGCGGUAAGACAUAGGGGGCAAGCGUUGUUCGGAAUUACUGGGCGUAAAGGGAGCGUAGGCGGGAGAUUAAGUUAAGAGUGAAAGCCUUGGGCUCAACCCAAGAAAUGCUCUUAAUACUGGUUUUCUAGAGUGUGGGAGAGGUAAGUGGAAUUCCUAGUGUAGCGGUAGAAUGCGUAGAGAUUAGGAGGAACAUCAGAGGCGAAGGCGGCUUACUGGACCAUAACUGACGCUGAGGCUCGAAAGCGUGGGGAGCAAACAGGAUUAGAUACACCAGUAGUC